rnacentral:rRNA from 1 species
CCUACGGGAGGCAGCAGUGGGGAAUCUUGCGCAAUGGGCGAAAGCCUGACACAGCGAUGCCGCGUGAGGGAAGAAGGCCUUCGGGUUGUAAACCUCUUUCAGGAGGGACGAAGCUACUCGGGUGAAUAGCCCAGAGGGUGCCGGUACCUCCAGAAGAAGCCCCGGCUAACUACGUGCCAGCAGCCGCGGUAAU